rnacentral:lncRNA from 1 species
AAUUUGAUACUUCUUUAUUUAUUUUUUAGAUAAUUAAAGGAUUAGACUAAUCACAACCUAAAUUGGUCCAAAACUAAUGUUAAAUCCAAGAAAUUAAGGAACCAAGGGAUGUGCAUGGCCUUCGCGCAAAAGAAGAAGGCUCUCUUUGGAAGAAAUAGUUUUUGGGUAUAAAUAUUUAAAGAGAUGGGGUCCAUAUUAAAAGUAAUAGAAGAGAAAAAAAAAGUGGGCUGAGAUUCUUCAGGGG